rnacentral:rRNA from 1 species
UACGUAGGGUGCAAGCGUUAAUCGGAAUUACUGGGCGUAAAGCGUGCGCAGGCGGUGAUGUAAGACAGAUGUGAAAUCCCCGGGCUCAACCUGGGAACUGCAUUUGAAACUGUCUGGCUUGAGGCCGGGAGAGGGUAGCGGAAUUCCCAGUGUAGCGGUGAAAUGCGUAGAUAUUGGGAGGAACACCAGUGGCGAAGGCGGCUACCUGGACCGGUUCUGACGCUGAGGCGCGAAAGCGUGGGUAGCAAACAGG